rnacentral:misc_RNA from 1 species
GAUGAAGAACGUAGCGAAAUGCGAUAAGUAGUGUGAAUUGCAGAAUUCAGUGAAUCAUCGAAUCUUUGAACGCACAUUGCGCCCCCUGGUAUUCCUGGGGGCAUGCCUGUUCGAGCGUCAUUAACAACCAAUCGGGCGGGGCUUUUGCAUGCUCCCGCUCGGCCAUGGGGGAUGGACGUCGUCGGACGCCCACCCCCGAAAUGCAACGGCGGACGGCCACCCGUGGCACUGCGGCGUAGUAAGUUAACCCUUCGCGCGCGCCCACGGAGUGGACUGCCCGGCCGCUUGAACCCCCACACAUCCUACGGUUGACCUCGGAUCAGGUAGGGAUACCCGCUGAACUUAAGCAUAUCAAUAAGCGGAGGA